AAUUUUGGACAAUGGGGGAAACCCUGAUCCAGCCAUCCCGCGUGUAUGAUGAAGGCCUUCGGGUUGUAAAGUACUUUUGGCAGAGAAGAAAAGGUAUCUCCUAAUACGAGAUACUGCUGACGGUAUCUGCAGAAUAAGCACCGGCUAACUACGUGCCAGCAGCCGCGGUAAUACGUAGGGUGCAAGCGUUAAUCGGAAUCACGGGGCGUAAAGGGUGUUAGGGCGGUUCGGAAGGAAGAAUGUGAAACCCCAGGGUUCAACCUUGAAACGGCAUUUUAAACUGCGGGGCUGAGGAAGGUAAGAGGGGGGAAAAAUUCCAGGUGUAGAAGUAAAAUGCGUGAAUAUGUGGAGGAAAACCGUUGGCGAAGGCGGCCCCUGGGAUAAUACUGACGCUCAGACACGAAAGCGUGGGGAGCAAACAG
rnacentral:rRNA from 1 species